rnacentral:rRNA from 1 species
GAUGAACGCUGGCGGCGUGCCUAAUACAUGCAAGUCGAGCGAACGGACGAGAAGCUUGCUUCUCUGAUGUUAGCGGCGGACGGGUGAGUAACACGUGGAUAACCUACCUAUAAGACUGGGAUAACUUCGGGAAACCGGAGCUAAUACCGGAUAAUAUUUUGAACCGCAUGGUUCAAAAGUGAAAGACGGUCUUGCUGUCACUUAUAGAUGGAUCCGCGCUGCAUUAGCUAGUUGGUAAGGUAACGGCUUACCAAGGCAACGAUGCAUAGCCGACCUGAGAGGGGGAUCGGCCACACGGGAACGGAGACACGGUCCAGAGUCCUACGGGAGGCAGCAGUAGGGAAUCUGCCGCAAUGGGCGAAAGCCUGACGGAGCAACGCCGCGUGAGUGAUGAAGGUCUUCGGAUCGUAAAACUCUGUUAUUAGGGAAGAACAUAUGUGUAAGUAACUGUGCACAUCUUGACGGUACCUAAUCAGAAAGCCACGGCUAACUACGUG